AGGAAUUUACUUUAGAUCAAACAGACAAACGUCUCCCUUUAACCACUGGCUCACGUUUGGCAGCUACACCUAUGAAGAUGAAGAGGGGGUGUUCCCAGAGAGCCAGUUUGUCUUUGACUUGGAGCUCCCUCUGGACUUCAAGCCACGCAUAGGAGAUGGAGAAGUUCAGGAAUUCUACCUGCUGCCAAUAGAGAAGGUGAAGGAACUGCUAGCCACUGAUGACUUCAAGCCCAACUCUGCCAUGGUCGUCCUAGACUUCCUCAUCCGACACUCGUUUGUUGAACCGGACACAGAGCCAUAUUAUCAAGAAUUUGUAACAGGACUCCAUCAAACCUUAUAGACAAGAAACGCCACCUUGGUUUCCACUCGGUGGUGUGGAUUCAGUAACCGGAGGCUGAGCGUCGAGGGCAGUGAAUCAGAUGAGGACAGGAACGGAUCCUGACCAUCUCAACACUGGGAUGGCUUCUGUAUAAAGAGAGGACAGCAUAUCCUAACUGUCAAAGUUUAGCUUACUUCAAUGAGCGAUGCUCAGUGCUCACACAUGUUCAGAUCAAAUGCAAAGGAUGAAUUGAAGUAGAAGGUUUUAUGCAUAAAUUCAUGUCUCUGUUUAUUUGCAAAAUUUCUUACAAACUGCAAAUGAUGAAAAAAAGAUGAGAAGGAACAUUGAACCAAUGAAACGCCUCUUAAAAUGUUGAAUUGUUUAAAUGGUUUAAAAGUUGUUGGCUUUUUUUGAGUGAAAUUACCUUUUCGUCUUUGGUAGAAGUUAUUUAAAGGAAUUCAGAAUUCAAAUUUCUGAAAGUACUUUAAAUAUGAAGUUAUUACAUACUGUUCAAUAAAUGAUAAGCGUUUCUUUUUUUAAAACUUUUUAUUUAGUAUUUUUUCAAUUUUACAUUAAAACAAACAAACAAACUAAAAAAUAUG